UCCAGCAGCCAUAUCACCCUGCAGCCCAAGACUGGUCGCCUAGGGUUGAGCCUGGUCAGUACCUGGAUGGGAGACCUCCUGGGAAAACUAGGUUGCUUCUGGAA
rnacentral:rRNA from 1 species